AUUGAACGCUGGCGGCAUGCCUUACACAUGCAAGUCGAACGGCAGCACGGGAGCAAUCCUGGUGGCGAGUGGCGAACGGGUGAGUAAAGUAUCGGAACGUGCCCAGUCGUGGGGGAUAACGUAGCGAAAGUUACGCUAAUACCGCAUACGAUCUAUGGAUGAAAGCGGGGGAUCGCAAGACCUCGCGCGAUUGGAGCGGCCGAUAUCAGAUUAGGUAGUUGGUGGGGUAAAGGCUCACCAAGCCGACGAUCUGUAGCUGGUCUGAGAGGACGACCAGCCACACUGGGACUGAGACACGGCCCAGACUCCUACGGGAGGCAGCAGUGGGGAAUUUUGAACAAUGGGCGAAAGCCUGAUCCAGCCAUGCCGCGUGCAGGAUGAAGGCCUUCGGGUUGUAAACUGCUUUUGUACGGAACGAAAAGGUUUGGGCUAAUAAGCUGAGCUCAUGACGGUACCGUAAGAAUAAGCACCGGCUAACUACGUGCCAGCCGCCGCAGUAA
rnacentral:rRNA from 1 species